rnacentral:rRNA from 1 species
UAUUGAAAUAAACCUGAUGGGUUGUUGCUGGUUCUCUUGGGAGCAUGUGCACACCUUGUCAUCUUUAUAUCUCCACCUGUGCACCCUUUGUAGACCUUCCCAGGUCUAUGUUGCUUUUUCAUUUACCCCAAUGUAUGUUAAUAGAAUGUUGUGCCUAUAAAAUCUAUACAACUUUCAGCAACGGAUCUCUUGGCUCUCGCAUCGAUGAAGAACGCAGCGAAAUGCGAUAAGUAAUGUGAAUUGCAGAAUUCAGUGAAUCAUCGAAUCUUUGAACGCACCUUGCGCUCCUUGGUAUUCCGAGGAGCAUGCCUGUUUGAGUGUCAUUAAUAUAUAUCAACCUCUCUUGUUGAGUGGUUUGGAUGUGGGGGGUUUGCUGGCCUGUUCAGCUCCUCUGAAAUGCAUUAGCAGAACAACCUGUUCAUUGGUGUGAUAACUAUCUACGCUAUUGAAUGUGAGGGCAGUUCAGCUUUCCAACAGUCCUUGGACAAUUUAUCAUUUAUGUGACCUCAAAUCAGGUAGGACUACCCGCUGAACUUAAGCAUAUC